rnacentral:rRNA from 1 species
AGAGUUUGAUCCUGGCUCAGGAUGAACGCUGGCGGCGUGCCUAACACAUGCAAGUUGAGCGAUUUACUUCGGUAAAGAGCGGCGGACGGGUGAGUAACGCGUGGGUAACCUACCCUGUACACACGGAUAACAUACCGAAAGGUAUGCUAAUACGGGAUAAUAUAUUUGAGAGGCAUCUCUUGAAUAUCAAAGGUGAGCCAGUACAGGAUGGACCCGCGUCUGAUUAGCUAGUUGGUAAGGUAACGGCUUACCAAGGCGACGAUCAGUAGCCGACCUGAGAGGGUGAUCGGCCACAUUGGAACUGAGACACGGUCCAAACUCCUACGGGAGGCAGCAGUGGGGAAUAUUGCACAAUGGGCGAAAGCCUGAUGCAGCAACGCCGCGUGAGUGAUGAAGGCCUUCGGGUCGUAAAACUCUGUCCUCAAGGAAGAUAAUGACGGUACUUGAGGAGGAAGCCCCGGCUAACUACGUGCCAGCAGCCGCGGUAAUACGUAGGGGGCUAGCGUUAUCCGGAUUUACUGGGCGUAAAGGGUGCGUAGGCGGUCUUUCAAGUCAGGAGUGAAAGGCUACGGCUCAACCGUAGUAAGCUCUUGAAACUGGGAGACUUGAGUGCAGGAGAGGAGAGUGGAAUUCCUAGUGUAGCGGUGAAAUGCGUAGAUAUUAGGAGGAACACCAGUUGCGAAGGCGGCUCUCUGGACUGUAACUGACGCUGAGGCACGAAAGCGUGGGGAGCAAACAGGAUUAGAUACCCUGGUAGUCCACGCUGUAAACGAUGAGUACUAGGUGUCGGGGGUUACCCCCNAUGCGCGGAUGUGGCGGAAUUGGCAGACGCACUAGACUUAGGAUCUAGCGCCAUUGGCGUGGGGGUUCGACUCCCUUCAUCCGCACCAUUUUUGUUUGAUAUACAUAUAUAUAUUGUGGGUGCAUAGCUCAGCUGGAUAGAGCAACGCCCUUCUAAGGCGUGUGUCCGGGGUUCGAAUCCCUGUGCGCUCACCACAUAUAUUGGGGAUUAGCCAAGUCGGUAAGGCACAUGACUUUGACUCAUGUAUGCGUAGGUUCGAGUCCUGCAUCCCCAGCCAAACAGUAUGGUCUAUUAGCUCAGUCGGUAGAGCACCUGACUUUUAAUCAGGGUGUCCCGCGUUCGAGUCGCGGAUAGAUCACCAAUGGAGAGGUGUCCGAGUGGUUUAAGGAGCUGGUCUUGAAAACCAGUGACUUCGAAAGGGGCCGUGGGUUCGAAUCCCACCCUCUCCGCCAAAUGCCCAGAUAGCUCAGUCGGUAGAGCAGGGGACUGAAAAUCCCCGUGUCGGUGGUUCGAUUCCGCCUCUGGGCACCAAAAUAUGGCGGUAUAGCUUAGUUGGCUAGAGCGUUCGGUUCAUACCCGAAAGGUCAUAGGUUCGACUCCUAUUACCGCUACUAAAAUUUAAUGUGGGCCAUUAGCUCAGUUGGUUAGAGCGCCCGGCUCAUAACCGGUAGGUCUGGGGUUCGAGUCCCUGAUGGCCCACCACAUUAAAUUAACUUAUGGUGGGUAUAGCUCAGUUGGUUAGAGCGCCAGAUUGUGGCUCUGGAGGUCGUGAGUUCGACUCUCAUUAUCCACCCCAACUUAUAUGGUCUAUUAGCUCAGUCGGUAGAGCACCUGACUUUUAAUCAGGGUGUCCCGCGUUCGAGUCGCGGAUAGAUCACCAAAAAGGCGGCGACAUAGCCAAGUGGUAAGGCAGUGGACUGCAACUCCUUGAUCCCCAGUUCGAAUCUGGGUGUCGCCUCCAAUAAAAUGCGCUCAUAGCUCAACUGGAUAGAGUGUCUGACUACGAAUCAGAAGGUUAGGGGUUCGAGUCCCUUUGGGCGCACCAUAUGAAUAGCGAGGGAUUAUAGCUCAGCUGGGAGAGCACCUGCCUUACAAGCAGGGGGUCACAGGUUCGAGCCCUGUUAAUCCCACCAGUGCAAACCUCUAGUAAAACUACUAGAGGUUUUAUUUUUGAUUGAAAAAGUUUUUAUAUUUAGGAGGUAAAAAAUUUGUAUAUAGUAAUAGGAAAUGAAAUAGUUGAUAGUGAAGAACUUAAAAUAAUUAUAGAUAAAAAUAGUGAAUUUAAAGUUGAAAAAGAUUUAAGUAAAAGCACAAAAAGAGAAGAUGUAAUAGCAUAUCAGUUAAGUAUAGAUUUAAAUUACCUAGAUUCUCUUAUAAAUGAGCAAUGUAAUUUAGCCAGUCUAUCUGAUGAAGAGAAAUUUGAUGAAUAUAUGACUUUGUCUGAUGAACUUGCACUGGAUUUAGAAGAGUUAAUGCCAAAAUAUACAAUAAUAAAUGCUAGAGCAUAUAAAUUAGACGAGGUAGAUGGAAUUGUAAAAAUAAUACUAGCUGUAGCGUAUGCAGAUUUAGGGCACUUAAAACUUUCUGAUGUAGUAAAGAGGCUAUCUAGACAAGUAGAUUAGGAUAUGAAUAUGAACUAUAUUAAAAAAAUGUAUAAAAUCUUACGUAAAGAUGAAAAUAAUUAUGUAAACAUAGAAAAAAACAGUAUAAAAUCAAGUCAAUUGUAGAAAUUUUCACAUAAAUUCAUCUGAAAUUCUGUAAAAAAUGCCUUAAUUUUAAUGAGGUAAAUCGAGUUUACACAGUCUAAAAAUUACUUAUAUUUAUAAAUUUAUCUUAUUAAUUAAGGAACUUUCUUAAACAUCUUCAAAAAUAAAGUAUUUUAGUCUAUAAUCUUUAAUAUUACACAAACAAUAAAGGAGAAGAAUAGAGUAUGCUUAAAAAGUUUAAUAAAAUACUAGUGGCUAAUAGAGGCGAAAUAGCUAUAAGAAUAUUUAGAGCCUGUUCAGAAUUGGGGAUAAAAAGUGUUGGUAUAUACAGUAAGGAAGAUAAGUAUGGAUUGUUUAGAACAAAAGCGGAUGAAUCAUAUUUGAUAGGAGAAGGUAAAGGGCCAAUAGAUGCAUAUUUAGAUAUGGAUGGAAUAAUAGACCUAGCAAAGAGAAAAAAAGUUGAUGCUAUACAUCCAGGAUAUGGUUUUCUAGCGGAGAAUGCAGAAUUUGCUCGUAAAUGUGAAGAGAAUGGAAUUACUUUUAUAGGACCAUCAUCUAAGGUAAUGAAUAUGAUGGGGGAUAAGAUUAACUCUAAAAAAAUCGCAAAAGAAGUUAAUGUUCAAACU